GAUGUUUUGGCUGAUGUUGGAAAACCCCUGGAGCAAAAGCAGAGGGAAAGUACAGUCUGGGUCCAAAGGCCAAGUAGCAAUCUUUUUGCCCCAAGUGAGGCUGCCAGCGGGCAAUAGUGUGGAGGGCAUCAGGGUUGGUGGGACAUGGAGGAGUGUAAAGAAGAGAACAAAGGCCCAGAUGCAGGAAGCCCACUGUCUGGUGUAGAGCCAGGAGUCAGCUUGGCAAAGAGAGAUCCGCCCAAACCAGAUCUGGACAGGAUUCCAGGGCUGUCAAUGAUGCUGAUGUUCUUCAGGACCUGAUUGGGCAGCUGGGAGCACAUGAAUCUGGAAAAAAGGGAUCAAAGGAACUACACAUCUCCAAGCUCUGAGGAGCUCCCUGGCCUCUCAAGGGCAUAACAUCCUACAAGAGAACUGUGUCCAGGAGUUCGGGGCAUUGAUCUGCAGUUAAGUGAGUGGUGGCCCAUGAUGGAACAAAUGACUGGUGAACAGCAAAGGAUGCAGUGGGCACCUGGGAAGACCGUGUAAUUUCCAAAUUAGGAAACGGACACUCAGAAGGUAUAUAAACCAAUAUCCCUCUCCUUUCUUCACUUAGGCUAGAGCAUGGAGGUCAGAAUCAUUCAAGCAGGGCAGCCCCAGUGGCGCAGCGGUUUAGCGCCGCCUGCAGCCCAGGGCAUGAUCCUGGAGACCCUGGAGACCCUGGAGACCCUGGAUCGA